rnacentral:rRNA from 1 species
AGCAGCCGCGGUAAUUCCAGCUCCAAUAGCGUAUAUUAAAGUUGUUGCAGUUAAAAGCUCGUAGUUGAAUUUCGGGAUCAAAUUGUCGGUCGUGCCUCGGUACGUACUGGUAUUAUUGGUUCCUCCCUUCUGACGAACCACGAUGUCAUUAAUUUGGUGUCAUGGGAAAUCAGGACUGUUACUUUGAAAAAAAUUAGAGUGUUUAAAGCAGGCUCGCGCUUGAAUACAUUAGCAUGGAAUAAUGAAAUAGGACGUUUGAUUCUAUUUUGUUGGUUUCUAGGAUCGACGUAAUGAUUAAUAGGGAUAGUUGGGGGCAUUAGUAUUCAAUUGUCAGAGGUGAAAUUCUUGGAUUUAUUGAAGACUAACUACUGCGAAAGCAUUUGCCAAGGAUGUUUUCAUUAAUCAAGAACGAAAGUUAGGGGAUCGAAGACGAUCAGAUACCGUCGUAGUCUUAACCAUAAACUAUGCCGACUAGGGAUCGGAUGAUGUUAAUUUUUUAAUGACUCAUUCGGCGCCUUAC